rnacentral:rRNA from 1 species
ACGCACGCUGGCGGCAUGCCUCACCCAUGCCAGUCGAACGAGACCUUCGGGUCUAGUGGCGCACGGGUGCGUAACGCGUGGGAACCUGCCCUUAGGUUCGGAAUAACUCCCCGAAAGGGGUGCUAAUACCGGAUAAUGUCUUCGGACCAAAGAUUUAUCGCCUUUGGAUGGGCCCGCGUUGGAUUAGCUAGUUGGUAGGGUAAAAGCCUACCAAGGCGACGAUCCAUAGCUGGUCUGAGAGGAUGAUCAGCCACACUGGGACUGAGACACGGCCCAGACUCCUACGGGAGGCAGCAGUGGGGAAUAUUGGACAAUGGGCGAAAGCCUGAUCCAGCAAUGCCGCGUGAGUGAUGAAGGCCUUAGGGUUGUAAAGCUCUUUUACCCGGGAUGAUAAUGACAGUACCGGGAGAAUAAGCUCCGGCUAACUCCGUG